rnacentral:rRNA from 1 species
UACCAGCACCCCGAGUGGUCGGGACGAUUAUGGGCCUAAAGCAUCCGUAGCCGGUUUUACAAGUCCCCCGUUAAAUCCAGCUGCUUAACAGAUGGGCUGCGGAGGAUACUAUAAGACUAGGAGGCAGGAGAGGCAAGCGGUACUCAGUGGGUAGGGGUAAAAUCCGUUGAUCCAUUGAAGACCACCAGUGGCGAAGGCGGCUUGCCAGAAUGCGCUCGACGGUGAGGAUGAAAGCUGGGGGAGCAAACCGG